CAUCCCAGUUCGGAUUGCAGGCUGCAACCCGCCUGUAUGAAGUUGGAAUCGCUAGUAAUCGCGGAUCAGCAUGCCGCGGUGAAUACGUUCCCGGGCCUUGUACACACCGCCCGUCACACCAUGGGAGUCGGUAACACCCGAAGUCGGUAGCCUAACCGUAAGGAGGGCGCCGCCGAAGGUGGGAUUGAUGACUGGGGUGAAGUCGUAACAAGGUAAC
rnacentral:rRNA from 1 species